rnacentral:rRNA from 1 species
AUUGAACGCUGGCGGCAUGCUUUACACAUGCAAGUCGAACGGCAGCGGGGGCUUCGGCCUGCCGGCGAGUGGCGAACGGGUGAGUAAUGCAUCGGAACGUGCCCAGUCGUGGGGGAUAACACAUCGAAAGAUGUGCUAAUACCGCAUACGUCCUGAGGGAGAAAGCGGGGGAUCUUCGGACCUCGCGCGAUUGGAGCGGCCGAUGUCGGAUUAGCUAGUUGGUGGGGUAAAGGCCCACCAAGGCGACGAUCCGUAGCGGGUCUGAGAGGAUGAUCCGCCACACUGGGACUGAGACACGGCCCAGACUCCUACGGGAGGCAGCAGUGGGGAAUUUUGGACAAUGGGGGCAACCCUGAUCCAGCCAUGCCGCGUGAGUGAAGAAGG